rnacentral:rRNA from 1 species
UAUCUCUGUAGAGUCUGCAUAUCAAUAAGCGGAGGAAAAGAAACUAACUAGGAUUCCCUUAGUAACGGCGAGUGAAGCGGGAAGAGCUCAAAUUUGAAAUCUUCAAGGUUCUACCUUGACGAAUUGUAGUUUAAAGAAGUGUUUUCUGUUAGAUUUGAGUAGCAAAGUUCUUGGAAUAGGACAUCAUAGAGGGUGAGAAUCCCGUAUUUGGUUAUUCAUUCUAGCUUUGUGAUACACUUUCAAAGAGUCGGAUUGUUUGGGAAUGCAGUCCAAAAUGGGUGGUAAAUUUCAUCUAAAGCUAAAUAUUGGCGAGAGACCGAUAGCGAACAAGUACCGUGAGGGAAAGAUGAAAAGAACUUUGAAAAGAGAGUUAAACAGUACGUGAAAUUGUCAAAAGGGAAGCGUUUGACACCAGUGUUGUUUUUCCGAAAAUCAAUUACGAAUGGCUUGAUUCUGUGUUGUAUUGACCUUAUCAGCUUUCUUCACUUUUUUCGAGUCUUUCUUAAUGCACUUUUCGGUUAACAAGUCAACAUCAAUUUCUUUUGUUGUAAAAGAGUAUUCGGAAGGUGGCUUUCUUUUCGGAGAAAGUGUUUAUAGCCCUAUACUUCUACAAUCGGAGAGAUUGAGGUCUGCAGCGUAGAUCCUUCGGGGUUAGAUACACUUUGUAGCUAAGUUGUAGCUUUUCAUAGACAACUUGUUGACUAUGUUUAGUCAUGCGGCUUACUCGCUUGUGCUAUUUUACCUACGCUUAGGAUGUUGAAGAUGUAGCACAUCAU